UGCCUGGUAGCGGGGGAUAACUAUUGGAAACGAUAGCUAAUACCGCAUAACAGUAGAUAUCGCAUGAUAGCUGCUUGAAAGGUGCAAUUGCACCACUACCAGAUGGACCUGCGUUGUAUUAGCUAGUUGGUGAGGUAACGGCUCACCAAGGCCACGAUACAUAGCCGACCUGAGAGGGUGAUCGGCCACACUGGGACUGAGACACGGCCCAGACUCCUACGGGAGGCAGCAUG
rnacentral:rRNA from 1 species